CUCUAGUUAUCCCUAUAUUCCCAGCAGCUAAUUGAUUAACUCAUAUGCCUUGGAUAAUAUGCUUGUAUUUAAAAUAUUUGAGAACCAUGAUCACAAGAUUUGGCACCUAUCUAAUUUUUUUUUUUUUUGUAUACACCAGACUUCUUAACCUAUGUGCAUCAUUCGUGUUAGAACAUAUUUAGCACCCGUCUCCAUGCCCUAACCCGGCUU
rnacentral:lncRNA from 1 species